UACGGGGGGGGCAAGCGUUGUUCGGAAUUACUGGGCGUAAAGGGCUCGUAGGUGGCCAACUAAGUCAGACGUGAAAUCCCUCAGCUUAACUGGGGAACUGCGUCUGAUACUGGAUGACUUGAGUUUGGGAGAGGGAUGCGGAAUUCCAGGUGUAGCGGUGAAAUGCGUAGAUAUCUGGAGGAACACCGGUGGCGAAGGCGGCAUCCUGGACCAACACUGACACUGAGGCGCGAAAGCGUGGGGAGCAAACGGG
rnacentral:rRNA from 1 species